rnacentral:rRNA from 1 species
GAUGAACGCUGGCGGCGUGCUUAACACAUGCAAGUCGAACGGUGAAGGCGGAGCUUGCUCUGCUGGAUCAGUGGCGAACGGGUGAGUAACACGUGAGCAAUCUGCCCCUGACUCUGGGAUAAGCGCUGGAAACGGCGUCUAAUACUGGAUACGAGCUGCGAAGGCAUCUUCAGCAGCUGGAAAGAAUUUCGGUCAGGGAUGAGCUCGCGGCCUAUCAGCUUGUUGGUGAGGUAAUGGCUCACCAAGGCGUCGACGGGUAGCCGGCCUGAGAGGGUGACCGGCCACACUGGGACUGAGACACGGCCCAGACUCCUACGGGAGGCAGCAGUGGGGAAUAUUGCACAAUGGGCGGAAGCCUGAUGCAGCAACGCCGCGUGAGGGACGACGGCCUUCGGGUUGUAAACCUCUUUUAGCAGGGAAGAAGCGAAAGUGACGGUACCUGCAGAAAAAGCGCCGGCUAACUACGUG